CGAGGAGGUUUGUCCCCUCGUGCGCGCCGUAGCCCCGCCGGGAUCAGGCGGGAAGGGAAUAGGAAGGAAAAUGGAAGGGGAAGGUCGAGUUGCCUUUGGUGUGGGGGCGGCGGCGCCUCCCGCCCUGGUGGUACCGAGUGUGUGUGUCCGGGGGCACCGUCCCGCCGCCCCCGGCCUAGGGCAGCGCUGAGCUGUGGGGGCACGGCCGGCGCUCUCAGAGACGGGGUCUCGGUGUCCCCUCCGAGCGCUGCCGCAGCAGGUGCCUGUCCGGGGUUACAGACCCUUCCACAGGAUAUUCCAGAUCCGGGUACAGAAGCUCCUGAAGAAUAAGGCUGAGCAGUUGUGGCUUCAAAAGGAAGGGAUAUGUGCAAAUAGGAGGGUUUUAGGAGAAGAGUCUUUAAUGAAAGAGCCUUCUGUUCCGUGUGGGUUAUGAAAGCCUGCAGAGCGUUGUCUCAUAGAAUCACAGAAUGGCUCGGUUUGGGAGGGACCCUAAAGAUUAUCCAGUUCCAACGCCCUGCCAUGGGCAGGGACACUUUGCAGUAGACGAGGUUGCUCCAAGCCCUGUCCAGCCUGGCCUUGAACACUUCCAGGGAUGGGGCAGCUGCAGCUGCUCUGGGCAGCUUGUGCCCCACCACCCUCACACUGUUCAUCGUGCAGAGGAAGAGAAGACAGAGGAAGCAAAGGGCUGAGGAACAAUCCUGACAGACAAAGGAUUUAUCAGAAAGACGGGGUUGUUAAGCAGUAUCCAGACACUGCUUCCCUCUGACAGUGGGUUCCUCUCUGCUGCUCCUGCAGCGUGACAAGCAAAGAAACUCUGCUAGGAAGUAAAAUGCAUUUUGUUUGAAGGGGCUUCCUCCUAGGCUGGAGAAUGCCAGGUUGGAUUGAAUAAUAUGCACAGAAAGGAAAGGGAAUGCAAAGUAAGACAGGGGUAAGCACAGGACAUUGUGGUAGAUGAGGGACUUUUGCCACAGGUAAAGUCUCUGUAGGACUCUUCUGACUCCCCUGACUUUUCAGCCUCAGUUUACCAAGCUGGGGAAUAGAGUAUAUCUUCAGUUAUAUAAAACUGCAGUGAAUUACACAAGAUUCAGGAAUUCUUUUGUUUGACCAAAGAACAAAUGAGUCUUGUUAAACAGUCCUAGUUAUUUAGUACAGAUCAUCAUUUGUUUCUAACUACAGUUAAUUAGGCAAAUGGAAAACUUGUAGUUUCUUCUCAGGACUUAAAAAAAAAAAAAAAAAGUCUGGUAAGGAUCAUCCUAUCAUCUUCCAGGACUGCUCCCAGUCCUCAACUCAUCUUCAACUUCAGGAGUGGCAAAACUACAUCACCUUACAAUCAGUUGUCAAUAAUUGCCUGUACCAUGCAUUGCUGCCUAUAUGCAUCUCUGAAGCUAAUCCAGACAGGGCCCUCUGGAUCCUGUUUUUAAUCCUAAUUGAUAAGUCAUGUGCCUGCCUUCCAGCUAUCUGCUAGAGAUUCCCAUAGAGACAGUAACAGCAAUUAAUUUAGAAGACCUAAGGACACCCGAGUACCCUUUGGAACUGUUUUUGAUGUUAUUGUAUUGGUAAAAGUCCCUGGCUGGUGGAGGCAAUAAAGAACAUCGCAGUGCCUGGAAGGAGCUCAGUCCUUAUCGGACACGAAGCUUUGCUGUUCAUCCGAGGGAAGUUGUGCCUCAGUUUUCACUCCUGGGCAAACCACGGGGUGUUUUCCUUACUAUGUUGUUUCAAUUUCACAGAAUUGUUAUGAGGAAUAAACCCUGAGCCAAGGAAGAUGGAUAGGGUAGAGCCUGAUAGGAAAAGGAAUAAACCAGCUCUGGGUGUUCAGAAGGACAGACAAUUCCUUGGGUAGUGCAGGAAGUGUGACUGAUCCAUUAGGUGGCCACCAUGGAGCUGAUACAUAAACUAUUGAUUGCUUAAAAGUCUAAAACAGUGAAACAAUCGCUCUUUUUAAUUAUUUUUUUAAUUUAUUUUAUAAAAGAGUUCAAUGUGAUUUUGUUCUUUAAUACCAGACCAUUUUUCAGCAGACUGCAGCUCUGGUCAAGAAAAGGGAAACAGAAAACGUCUAAUUUUAAGCUCUCAAAACAGGGAGUGCUGUUUUGAGCUCUCAGAAUUGUCAUCGGCCUGUUAUAUCCUUGUUCUAGAGGGACCUCAAAAUUCCUGAUACUUAUCCCUUUAGGCAUACAGUCUUCCCAUUUCCCCCAGGCCAUAUCCCCAUGCAAGACUUGGGCAGGAAACCAAACCCAUCAGACUGAUAAAGAGAUUGCACUGUAUCAUUCCUUCUACUGACUCAGGGUUUAUGAUGGCUGAGCUCAUAAUGAGGAAAUGUGAGAGAGAAAAUGGUGAUUCCUGUCAAGACCAGAACAUGGGCACAGUCUCAUCGUAGGUAGGAGUUUUUUUGAUGAAUAGUUUGUUCUGUUUAUCUUGUUUUUUUUCCUAAAGCAGCUCAACUAUGUUAUUAAAGAAUAAAAGUACUCUGACACUAGUUUUUUUAAAAACCCACUGUUAUACAUGUGUUAUAUAUUGAUAAACAUGUCAAUAUAUGUGUGUUGGGUUUAUGAUUUUUAUUCCCUUAAAAUUUAGUAUAGUUGAGUAACAGUCAACUUUUUCUGGAAAGCAAUAAGAGUUUUCUACUUGCCUGGGCCACUUCUGAUUCUCAGUGUGGGGGAUGUAGAACUUAAUCUCUUAAUGCUUCCAUUUUUUAGUGGCACACUGCUGAGAUCAAAGAAGCUUGAUAUUUUUCCUUGUUACACUGGUAGCUGAGGAAUGUGUGCCCAGAUAGGAGUAAAAUAUUACAAAUCAACAGUGGAUGCUGUGUGGUAAUAGAAACUACUGCUGGUUCUUCUAUAUCUCAGACUCAACCGUCUGGAGAGAGAAUGCAUCUCUGAAGGAGCAAUGUCCUUGAACAGUCGGAUUGUUAGUUCAGAAAAAUCAAGGAAGAGUAGACUAACUAAUUAUUUUUUCUUGAUCUGUGGUCGAACAGAUGUAGAAGGCACCAUGUAAGUUAUUUCUCGAUGUAUUAGUGAUACAUUCUUAAAAUUAUGUUUUAUAUUUUAGCCUGGAGAAGAGGAGGCUCGGGGGGGACCUCACCACUCUCUACAACUACCUGAAAGGGGGUUGUAGCCAGGUGGAGGUCAGUCUCUUCUGCCGUGUCUCAAGGGAAAGGGUGAGAGGAAAUGGCCUUUUGUUGUGCUAGGGGAAGUUCAGAUUAGAUAUUAUAAAAAAAGUUUUCACUGAAAGAGUGGUCAGGCAUUGGGAUGAGUUGCCCAGGGAGGUGGUGGAGUCACCAUCUUUGGCAGUGUUCAAGAGGUGCCUGGAUGUGGCACUUGGGGACAUGGUUUAAGGAUGACAAUCGUGCUGGGUUGACAGCUGGACUAGAUGAUCUUGAAGGUCUCUUCCAACCUUGGUGAUUCUUUGAUUCUAUGAUACUGUACGGUUUUUAAUUAGGAUUUAUAGUUCAGGAAAAGAAAAAAAAAAAGAAGAGAGGUAGUCGGUGUACUUCAGAAGGUAAGUCCACAUAUGAAGAGGAGCUGCAAAUAAUGCAGGAUUCCUGGAAGCUAAACAUAGAAUUGAGCAGUCCAAAACUCAAACCUUCAAAAAUGACUAGAUGUAUUUGAAUACUUGGGCUUUACAGUCUUUAUGAUUUCCUCAAAGUAUAAUACAAAGGAUAAUAUUUCCUUGCUCACAAGAGCGUAAAGGAUUAAUUUGUUAAAGUUUGUGAAGCACUUGGGUGAUGUGAUAAAAAUUUCCACUAACACAGGACUGGAUUUCUGCUUUGUACGGAAGUUUUGGGCUACCUCUUUUUUGGGGGUAGGGUUUUUGUUUGUUUGGUUUGGUUUUUUUAUUUUCUUUUUCACUUCCUUUAAAACACACUCUCAUAAAAUAUUUAAGCUUGCAGAUCUAUGGAAUAAGGCUUCAUAAAUCACCAGUAUUUAGUAAUUGCUGACCUGGAACACUUGCCAAAACCCACAAACCACUUGGUACGUUGUAAUUUGGGAGACCUUACGAGCCACGUAAUAUUUUACAGUUCCUGAAGCUAUUACCCAUCUUUGCAGAAAGAGAGAGAUUUUGAAAGGUAAGAUUGUACAUUGCGUACAAGGGAUUGUACGCAAUGGGCUAUUCCUGUCAUAAAACUUUAAUAGGAUCCUGUAGUCAGCCUGUAUUGCACGGAUUUGACGAGUGGCAGUCUUGAUAAAAACAGAGGUGACAAUUUGGAUCUGUUUAUUUUGUAGUUGAAGAACCAUUUAUAACACAGUGGCGAGGCUAUGGUGAGACAAUUUCUAAAUUAUAUCCAGUGCCAAAAUCCAGUUGGACUGCAGUGGUAUUUCGGUGCCCAGGCAGCAGUGCUGAGUACCCACACAUAGCCCUUCUCUGUGUCACGAGGAUUCAUUUCUGGUUUUCAUCCAGCAGAGAUAGUCCAGUAAGAGGGAUGGUUUUCACACCAGGGUGAGAAAUGCAGGUUUUUAAAUCAUCCACAGGUUGAGCAGGGCCAAGCACUUGGUGGCUGAAGCCACAGAGUGCCCAGGCUGCCCUAACAGCUGUUUCUGGCCAUGAAACAAGGACAAGAUGAAAGUACAGCUAUCUGGGUGUCCCAGACAGAGAGCUGUGGCCACCCGAGUGGAUCAUGUCUGCCAGACUUUGGGAGUGGAAUGACCUGUAAAAGGAGUAGAAGAAACCCACAGGAAUUGUGACUAGAGAUGUCUCCUGAGCUACUGACUUAUAUGAUAGAAAUCUAAACUUAUACUUGGGUCACUGUGGAAAUCCCUGUGCACCUCAAGAUACACAUAAAACCA